rnacentral:lncRNA from 1 species
CCAGACCCACCAGCGGAAAAAUGGCCAAAAAACGGUGGGCUAUUGCCUUGGUGGGGUGCGUGGGCGAAGUUCGUCCGCGGGACUCGGAAUGGCACCAGACUUGGCGGGCGGCCUCCGUGUGCCAAAAAUAGGCCACGGGCACAGCCGCGCCCAAAAAACAGCCCCCGAAGUUCGGGGUCCCAAGACCCCCCAGCGGAAAAAUGGCCAAAAAACGGGUGGGCUAUAGCCUUGGUGGGGGGCGUGGGCGAAGUUCGUCCGCGGGACUCGGAAUGGCACCAGACUUGGCGGGCGGCCUCCGUGUGCCAAAAAUAGGCCACGGGCACAGCCGCGCCCAAAAAACAGCCCCCAAAGUUCGGGGUCCCAAGACCCCCCAGCGGAAAAAUGGCCAAAAAACGGUGGGCUAUAGCCUUCGUGGGGGGCGUGGGCGAAGUUCGUCCGCGGGACUCGGAAUGGCACCAGACUUGGCGGGCGGCCUCCGUGUGCCAAAAAUAGGCCACGGGCACAGCCGCGCCCAAAAAACAGCCCCCGAAGUUCGGGGUCCCGGACCCCCCAGCGGAAAAAUGGCCAAAAAACGGGUGGGCUAUAGCCUUGGUGGGGGGCGUGGGCGAAGUUCGUCCGCGGGACUCGGAAUGGCACCAGACUUGGCGGGCGGCCUCCGUGUGCCAAAAAUAGGCGACGGGCACAGCCGCGCCCAAAAAACAGCCCCCGAAGUUCGGGGUCCCAAGACCCCCAAGCGGAAAAAUGGCCAAAAAACGGGUGGGCUAUAGCCUUGGUGGGGGGCGUGGGCGAAGUUCGUCCGCGGGACUCGGAAUGGCACCAGACUUGGCGGGCGGCCUCCGUGUGCCAAAAAUAGGCCACGGGCACAGCCGCGCCCAAAAAACAGCCCCCGAAGUUCGGGGUCCCAAGACCCCCCAGCGGAAAAAUGGCCAAAAAACGGGUGGGCUAUAGCCUUGGUGGGGGGCGUGGGCGAAGUUCGUCCGCGGGACUCGGAAUGGCACCAGACUUGGCGGGCGGCCUCCGUGUGCCAAAAAUAGGCCACGGGCACAGCCGCGCCCAAAAAACAGCUCCCGAAGUUCGGGGUCCCAAGACCCCCCAGCGGAAAAAUGGCCAAAAAACGGGUGGGCUAUAGCCUUGGUGGGGGGCGUGGGCGAAGUUCGUCCGCGGGACUCGGAAUGGCACCAGACUUGGCGGGCGGCCUCCGUGUGCCAAAAAUAGGCCACGGGCACAGCCGCACCCAAAAAACAGCCCCCGAAGUUCGGGGUCCCAAGACCCCCCAGCGGAAAAAUGGCCAAAAAACGGGUGGGCUAUAGCCUUGGUGGGGGGCGUGGGCGAAGUUCGUCCGCGGGACUCGGAAUGGCACCAGACUUGGCGGGCGGCCUCCGUGUGCCUAAAAUAGGCCACGGGCACAGCCGCGCCUAAAAAACAGCCCCCGAAGUUCGGGGUCCCAAGACCCCCCAGCGGAAAAAUGGCCAAAAAACGGUGGGCUAUAGCCUUGGUGGGGGGCGUGGGCGAAGUUCGUCCGCGGGACUCGGAAUGGCACCAGACUUGGCGGGCGGCCUCCGUGUGCCAAAAAUAGGCCACGGGCACAGCCGCGCCCAAAAAACAGCCCCCGAAGUUCGGGGUCCCAAGACCCCCCAGCGGAAAAAUGGCCAAAAAACGGGCGGGCUAUAGCCUUGGUGGGGGGCGUGGGCGAAGUUCGUCCACGGGACUCGGAAUGGCACCAGACUUGGCGGGCGGCCUCCGUGUGCCAAAAAUAGGCCACGGGCACAGCCGCGCCCAAAAAACAGCCCCCGAAGUUCGGGGUCCCAAGACCCCCCAGCGGAAAAAUGGCCAAAAAACGGGUGGGCUAUAGCCUUGGUGGGGGGCGUGGGCGAAGUUCGUCCGCGGGACUCAGAAUGGCACCAGACUUGGCGGGCGGCCUCCGUGUGCCAAAAAUAGGCCACGGGCACAGCCGCGCCCAAAAAACAGCCCCCGAAGUUCGGGGUCCCA